GAUGAACGCUGGCGGCGUGCCUAACACAUGCAAGUCGAGCGAUCUUCUUCGGAAGAGAGCGGCGGACGGGUGAGUAACGCGUGGGUAACCUGCCCUGUACACACGGAUAACAUACCGAAAGGUAUGCUAAUACGGGAUAAUAUGCUUUUAUCGCAUGGUAGAAGUAUCAAAGCUCCGGCGGUACAGGAUGGACCCGCGUCUGAUUAGCUAGUUGGUAAGGUAACGGCUUACCAAGGCGACGAUCAGUAGCCGACCUGAGAGGGCGAUCGGCCACAUUGGAACUGAGACACGGUCCAAACUACUACGGGAGGCAGCAGUGGGGAAUAUUGCACAAUGGGCGGAAGCCUGAUGCAGCAACGCCGCGUGAGCGAUGAAGGCCUUCGGGUCGUAAAGCUCUGUCCUCAAGGAAGAUAAUGACGGUACUUGAGGAGGAAGCCCCGGCUAACUACGUGCCAGCCGCCGCCGUAA
rnacentral:rRNA from 1 species